rnacentral:lncRNA from 1 species
AAAAUACUUUAAAUCAAUGGUCUAAAAGGAAUCUAACUGUUAUAGGUAGAAUAACUGUGAUUAAAACUCUAGUCUUGCCUAUUGUAAACCAUCUCAUUAUCUCUCUGCCAAAUCCUUCAGAUGAUAUUAUUAAGAGAAUAAAUGAACUUAUUUAUUCAUACAUAUGGAACUCACCUAUACAUAGAGUUAAGAAGGAUAUUCUAAUCAAAGAUUAUUUGGAGGGAGGUUUGAAAAUGCUUGAUUUGAAUAUGUUCAUUACAGCACUUAAAUCAACAUGGAUUAGGAGGAUUUUGCAGAGAGAUAGUAAAUGGCAAAAUAUUUUCAUGUCAAAUAUAGAUAAAAGAA